CCUGGCGGCACUAGCGCGGUGGUCCCACCUGACCCCAUGCCGAACUCAGAAGUGAAACGCCGUAGCGCCGAUGGUAGUGUGGGGUCUCCCCAUGUGAGAGUAGGGAACCGCCAGGC
rnacentral:rRNA from 1 species